rnacentral:rRNA from 1 species
UGGGGAAUAUUGGGCAAUGGGGCGAAAGCCUGACCCAGCGACGCCGCGUGAGGGAAGAAGGUCUUCGGAUUGUAAACCUUUAUGAUCAGGGAAGAAGCAAGUGACGUUACCUGAAGAUGAAGCCACGGCUAACUACGUGCCAGCAGCCGCGGUAAUACGUAGGUGGCAAGCGUUAUCCGGAAUUACUGGGUGUAAAGGGUGUGUAGGCGGGUUUGCAAGUCAGAUGUGAAAAUUACGGGCUCAACCCGUAACCUGCAUUUGAAACUGCAGAUCUUGAGUGCUGGAGAGGUAAACGGAAUUCCCGGUGUAGCGGUGAAAUGCGCAGAUAUCGGGAGGAACACCAGUGGCGAAGGCGGUUUACUGGACAGCAACUGACGCUGAGACACGAAAGCGUGGGGAGCAAACAGGAUUAGAUACCCUGGUAGU